rnacentral:tRNA from 1 species
UCCCUGGUGGCUCAGAGGGUAAAGCGUCUGCCUGCAAUGUGGAGGACCUGGGUUCAAUCCCUGGGUGGGGAA